rnacentral:lncRNA from 1 species
UAGCAUGAAUUCAGUUCCUUCUUUAGUUAUCAAGAAUUCAGCAGUUUCACAACGAUAAUAUAAGCAAAUUAAGUUGACAGCAGUUAUUCUAAAAUCCGCAUGAUGCUUUGAUAGAGUUGGAUUACCAACCUUUGCUUCUAAAACCAUGACAGUUCACCAUGACCGCUCGCUCAACCAUUACCCAAGGAAAAACACGAUUGUUUCCCAAAAAACAAAGCAGCACAGCAAGCAACUGCACGCCAAGCUUCUGCUCUCCCUCCCC